rnacentral:rRNA from 1 species
GACGAACGCUGGCGGCGCGCUUAACACAUGCAAGUCGAGCGAGAACCAGGGCUUCGGCUCUGGGGACAGCGGCGAACGGGUGAGUAACACGUGGGUAAUCUGCCCUCGGCACCGGAAUAGCCCGGGGAAACCCGGAUUAAUGCCGGAUGGCCCACCCACCUCUCGAGGCGGUUGGAAAAGGUAGCUUCGGCCUCCGGCCGAGGAUGAGCCCGCGGCGGAUUAGCUUGUUGGCGGGGUAACGGCCCACCAAGGCGACGAUCCGUAGCUGGUCUGAGAGGACGAUCAGCCACACUGGGACUGAGACACGGCCCAGACUCCUACGGGAGGCAGCAGUGGGGAAUCUUGCGCAAUGGGCGAAAGCCUGACGCAGCGACGCCGCGUGCGGGAAGAAGGCCUUCGGGUUGUAAACCGCUUUCAGGAGGGACGAAGCCACUCGGGUGAACAGCCCAGAGGGUGACGGUACCUCCAGAAGAAGCCCCGGCUAACUACGUGCCAGCAGCCGCGGUAAGAC